UACGUAGGUGGCAAGCGUUAUCCGGAAUUAUUGGGCGUAAAGCGCGCGCAGGUGGUUUCUUAAGUCUGAUGUGAAAGCCCACGGCUCAACCGUGGAGGGUCAUUGGAAACUGGGAGACUUGAGUGCAGAAGAGGAAAGUGGAAUUCCAUGUGUAGCGGUGAAAUGCGUAGAGAUAUGGAGGAACACCAGUGGCGAAGGCGACCUUCUGGUCUGUAACUGACACUGAGGCGCGAAAGCGUGGGGAGCAAACAGG
rnacentral:rRNA from 1 species